ACUUAAUGGGGCAAUGGGUCUGCAAAUCCUGGGCCCUGAGACAAUGAUGGAAAUAUUACAGGCCACUGAUGUUACACGAACUGAAGUUGAGAAAGACGGAGGUUAUACUCAAUGCUCCAGACAUCAUGAUCAGUUCGUUGUUGAAGAAGAUGAGUCCAUACUCCCAAGAUCAAAAGUUAAAAGAUGGCAAAAAUCAAGAGAUGAAUCUAAUAUUGAUUUAGAAGGCUGUAGCCAUUGGGAGUGGAUGUAACUUUUGGCAUUCCCCUGAGCGUCUAUUUCAGAAUUGGUGCUAAGGUUUUGUGUAUACAAGUUGGCGAAAUCUCAUCUUAGAGGCAUUCAAGAAGCAAGAGCUAGAUACAAGGAGCAAUUCUUCAAAAACCAUCUCCUUGCUGAAGGACGGAUGUAAAAUCAAUGAGGCCCAUACAGAUAUAGCAAAUAGAAAUGUUGAAAGAUGGCAAAAAUCUAGAGAUGAAGUUGAUAUUGAUUCAACGUUCCCAGUGACAUUGAGAAUACAGAAGGCAGCUUUGGUCACCCAAAAAAAAAAAAAAAACAGAAUAUAAAAGGCUGCAGCUGUUGGGAGUGGAUGUCAAAACUCUUGGCAUUCUCUUGAGCAUCUAUUUUAGAUUUGACAACAAUGUGAUAAAGAAAAGAACGAAAGAAACGCAAUCAUGGAACGCAGAGUGGACGAGGGCCUGCAAGCAGAGGGGGUGGCUGGCAAAGAGAGGGUACAGAUCGCGAAGGGCUUGGGAUCGACAAAGGAGGUCGCGAGAAGGGUAUAGAUCUUCAAAGGAAAAGAAGGGUUGGCGAUGAUUGUGUAUUGCGUUUUUGUUCUCUCUCUCGUUGGGGAAUUGGUUGUUGGGCAUCAUAGACUAUGAUUUUCUUGUUGAUUUUAAUUUCUGGGCAUCAUAGAGUACGAUGUUGUUGGAAUCAAUUUUGCCUCUGGCUGUGAAUAACUUUACCCAUUCUGCUUAUGGUUCUGCAUACGACAGGAGGUCUUAUUAUCUGGCCUAAAAAAUGGCUCGCUCACCCAGGUGUCAGGG